rnacentral:rRNA from 1 species
CAGCCGCCGCGGUAAUACGGAGGGUGCAAGCGUUAUCCGGAUUCACUGGGUUUAAAGGGUGCGUAGGCGGGCAGGUAAGUCAGUGGUGAAAUCCUGGAGCUCAACUCCAGAACUGCCAUUGAUACUAUCUGUCUUGAAUAUUGUGGAGGUAAGCGGAAUAUGUCAUGUAGCGGUGAAAUGCUUAGAUAUGACAUAGAACACCCAUUGCGAAGGCAGCUUACUACGCAUAUAUUGACGCUGAGGCACGAAAGCGUGGGGAUCAAACAGGAUUAGAUACCCUGGUAGUCCACGCCCUAAACGAUGGAUACUCGACAUACGCGAUACACUGUGUGUGUCUGAGCGAAAGCAUUAAGUAUCCCACCUGGGAAGUACGUUCGCAAGAAUGAAACUCAAAGGAAUUGGCGGGGGAGCACAA